rnacentral:rRNA from 1 species
CGCAGCGAAAGCUGUGCUAAUACCGCAUACGAUCUACGGAUGAAAGCAGGGGAUCGCAAGACCUUGCGCGAAUGGAGCGGCCGAUGGCAGAUUAGGUAGUUGGUGAGGUAAAGGCUCACCAAGCCUUCGAUCUGUAGCUGGUCUGAGAGGACGACCAGCCACACUGGGACUGAGACACGGCCCAGACUCCUACGGGAGGCAGCAGAG